CCUACGGGAGGCAGCAGUGGGGAAUAUUGGACAAUAGGCGAAAGCUUGAUCCAGCAAUACCGCGUGAGUGAAGACAUUUUUUAGGUGUAAAACUCUUUCGGUGACGAAAAGACUGAUUGUAGUCACAAAAGAAGUCCCGGCUAAUUCCGUGCCAGCAGCCGCGGUAAUACGGGAGGGGCGAGUGUUAUUCAGAAUGACUGGGCGUAAAGAGCGUGUAGGUUGCUUAGUUUUAGGUAUAAUUUUAUAAAGGUAAAAGUGGAGGGCUUAACCCUUUUCAGACCCUAUAACAUUACUAAGCUAGAGUACUUGUUAGGAUUUUAGAACUUUUGCUGUAGCUUUAAUAUGCGUAAAAAGCAAGAAGAAUGCCGCCACGAAGGUAGAAAUCUAGCUUGAUACUGACACUGAGGCGCGAAAGCGUGGGGAGCAAAGCGGAUUAGAGACCCGUGUAGUCCACGCUGUAAACUAUGGAUACUAGAUUCGCCUAACAUUGAUUAGGAGUCUAAGUUAACACGUAAGUAUCCCGCCUGAGGAGUACUGUCGCAAGACUGAAACUCAAAGGAAUUGACGG
rnacentral:rRNA from 1 species